rnacentral:rRNA from 1 species
UGCAUUAGCUAGUUGGUGAGGUAACGGCUCACCAAGGCCAUGAUGCAUAGCCGACCUGAGAGGGUGAUCGGCCACACUGGGACUGAGACACGGCCCAGACUCCUACGGGAGGCAGCAGUAGGGAAUCUUCGGCAAUGGACGANAGUCUGACCGAGCAACGCCGCGUGAGUGAAGAAGGUUUUCGGAUCGUAAAACUCUGUUGUUAGAGAAGAACAAGUAGGAGAGUAACUGCUCUUACCUUGACGGUAUCUAACCAGAAAGCCACGGCUAACUACGUGCCAGCAGCCGCGGUAAUACGUAGGUGGCAAGCGUUGUCCGGAUUUAUUGGGCGUAAAGCGAGCGCAGGCGGUUUCUUAAGUCUGAUGUGAAAGCCCCCGGCUCAACCGGGGAGGGUCAUUGGAAACUGGGAGACUU